ensembl:misc_RNA Metazoa_SRP Metazoan signal recognition particle RNA
GCUGGGCAUGGUGGCACAUGCCUGUAAUCCCAGCUACUCGGGAGGCUGAGACAGGAGAAUUGCUUGAGCCUGGAAGGUCGAGGCUGCAGUGAACCGAGAUCACACCACUGCACUCCAGCCUGGGUAACAGAGCAAGACCCUGUCUCAA